UACGUUAUUUUGACCCCAAUUACCAUUAGUUGCAGAAGAAACGUCUUCUAUCGAAUUCAUCAAGCUUAUCGUUGAAGAAAAAAGAAGAGGAGUGAGUGAGUGAGUGAGUGAGAGAGAUGGGAGAAGAUCCACAGAAAACAAAGAAGAUCGCAGCAGCAGCAUAUGAUUACGAGAAUGAUUCGAGAUGGGAAGAUUACUGGUCUAACAUACUCAUUCCUCCUCACAUGGCUUCUCGUUCUGAUGUGGUUGAUCACUACAAGAAGAAGUUUUAUCAGCGUUACAUAGACCCUGAUCUCGUGGUUGAAGCGAUGUCUUCUGGCAGUUCCUCUCAGUCAUCGAAGUCUUCAUCCACAUCAUCGCAACCUGCUUCUGAACAAGUACGGGGUCGAAGCACAGGGGCAAGUACUAGAACAUCUGCCACAUCUGGAACUUCCACUACACCAGCUGCUAAUCCAAGUUCUCUGCGUUUGGAUCGACCAACCAUACAAUUUGCCGCCAAUGCUUGGGUGUUUAUCGUGGCAGUGCUUGCAAUCAUUCCUCUCACACCUAAAAAUCUUUCAAUUAGAGCAUAUCGACUGUCUUUUAUGGGAACCACAUGUUCCUCUUUGUUUUCGUUGUACGUAGUCUACGGGAAACCUAGGGCAUGGAAUCUACAAGCUGUCCAACUGUGGUUGCAAUCACUACUUGCAACCAAGGAUUUCAUCUACUUCAUUUACUGCCUUACUUUUGUCACCUCCAACCUUAACAUGAAAUUUGCUUUAAUACCUGUGCUCUGCCGAUCGCUUGAACAUGUGGCGAAGUUCCUAAGGCGCAAUUUCAGUCACUCUUACUUGUAUAGGAAGUACUUGGAUGAGGCUUGUCUCUGGGUGGAAUCAAACACAACUACACUUGGUAUACUGACAUCUCAUGCAGAGAUCGGAGUUGGAUUUCUUUUCAUCGUUUCACUAUUCUCGUGGCAACGCAACAUUAUACAGACCUUCAUGUAUUGGCAGUUUGCAGUAUAAAAAUUUUAAAAAGGAGAAGAAAAAGUAUCAAGAUCAGCAUGUGAGCGUUUAGGUAUUGAAGUUCAUGUACCGUGCACCUGUAACCUCUGGGUAUCAUCAAAGUGCAUGGGCUAAGAUCGGUCGGACUAUUAAUCCUCUGGUCAAUCGCUACGCCCCAUUCUUGAACACUCCAUUAUCUGCUGCUCAGAGAUGGUGGUUGAGGUAAUACAACAACAACAAUAGUUAGACGAGGAGAUACAAAUGUAAAGUGGAUGAAGGGUUUAAAAGAAUCACAUGGGUUAACCUUUUCUCAGGAAUCUCUUUAUGGAAAAGUCUGAUUAUAAGAUUAGAUUAUGGAACCAUUUUGAUUAACUAGACUCGAGAUUAACACCUCCAUUUAACUCAAGGUCACCUUUAAAAAUUUAAAUCUGUUAAUGCUUUUGCUUUUGGGUUUUUA